GUGGGGAAUAUUGGACAAUGGGCGCAAGCCUGAUCCAGCCAUGCCGCGUGAGUGAUGAAGGCCCUAGGGUUGUAAAGCUCUUUCACCGGUGAAGAUAAUGACGGUAACCGGAGAAGAAGCCCCGGCUAACUUCGUGCCAGCAGCCGCGGUAAUACGAAGGGGGCUAGCGUUGUUCGGAAUUACUGGGCGUAAAGCGCACGUAGGCGGACAUUUAAGUCAGGGGUGAAAUCCCAGAGCUCAACUCUGGAACUGCCUUUGAUACUGGGUGUCUUGAGUAUGGAAGAGGUAAGUGGAAUUCCGAGUGUAGAGGUGAAAUUCGUAGAUAUUCGGAGGAACACCAGUGGCGAAGGCGGCUUACUGGUCCAUUACUGACGCUGAGGUGCGAAAGCGUGGGGAGCAAACAGGAUUAGAUACCCCAGUAGUCC
rnacentral:rRNA from 1 species